GUGGGGAAUCUUGCGCAAUGGGCGAAAGCCUGACGCGGCCAUGCCGCGUGAAUGAUGAAGGUCUUAGGAUUGUAAAAUUCUUUCACCGGGGACGAUAAUGACGGUACCCGGAGAAGAAGCCCCGGCUAACUUCGUGCCAGCAGCCGCGGUAAUACGAAGGGGGCUAGCGUUGCUCGGAAUUACUGGGCGUAAAGGGCGCGUAGGCGGACAGUUUAGUCAGAGGUGAAAGCCCAGGGCUCAACCUUGGAAUUGCCUUUGAUACUGGCUGUCUUGAGUACGGGAGAGGUGAGUGGAACUCCGAGUGUAGAGGUGAAAUUCGUAGAUAUUCGGAAGAACACCAGUGGCGAAGGCGACUCACUGGCCCGUUACUGACGCUGAGGCGCGAAAGCGUGGGGAGCAAACAGGAUUAGAAACCCUGGUAGUCC
rnacentral:rRNA from 1 species